UACGAAGGGGGCUAGCGUUGCUCGGAAUCACUGGGCGUAAAGCGCACGUAGGCGGAUCUUUAAGUCAGGGGUGAAAUCCCAAGGCUCAACCUUGGAACUGCCUUUGAUACUGGGGAUCUCGAGUCCGGAAGAGGUUGGUGGAACUGCGAGUGUAGAGGUGAAAUUCGUAGAUAUUCGCAAGAACACCAGUGGCGAAGGCGGCCACGUCGUGCCGGUACUGACGCUGAGGUGCGAAAGCGUGGGGAG
rnacentral:rRNA from 1 species